rnacentral:rRNA from 1 species
CCUACGGGUGGCAGCAGUGAGGAAUAUUGGUCAAUGGGCGUAAGCCUGAACCAGCCAAGUCGCGUGAGGGAUGAAGGUUCUAUGGAUCGUAAACCUCUUUUAUAAGGGCAUAACGUGUGGAACGUGUCCUAUUUUGUAUGUACCUUAUUAAUAAGGAUCGGCUAACUCCGUGCCAGCAGCCGCGGUAAUACGGAGGAUCCGAGCGUUAUCCGGAUUUAUUGGGUUUAAUGGGUGCGUAUGCGGCCUUUUAAGUCAGCGGUGAAAGUCUGUGGCUCAACCAUAGAAUUGCCGUUGAAACUGGGGGGCUUGAGUAUGUGUGAGGCAGGCGGAAUGCGUGGUGUAGCGGUGAAAUGCUUAGAUAUCACGCAGAACCCCGAUGGCGAAGGCAGCCUGCCAAGCCAUGACUGACGCUGAUGCACGAAAGCGUGGGGAUCAAACAGGAUUAGAUACCCCUGUAGUC